rnacentral:rRNA from 1 species
AGGGAUUGCCCCAGUAACGGCGAGUGAAGCGGCAACAGCUCAAUUUGAAAUCUGGCCCCCCCCUGGGGGGUCCGAGUUGUAAUUUGGAGAGGAUGCUUCUGGCGAGGCGCCGUCCGAGUUCCUUGGAACAGGACGCCACAGAGGGUGAGAGCCCCGUAAGGUCGGCCGCCAAGCCUGUGCGAAGCUCCUUCGACGAGUCGAGUAGUUUGGGAAUGCUGCUCUAAAUGGGAGGUAAAUUCCUUCUAAAGCUAAAUACUGGCCAGAGACCGAUAGCGCACAAGUAGAGUGAUCGAAAGAUGAAAAGCACCUUGAAAAGAGGGUUAAACAGUACGUGAAAUUGUUGAAAGGGAAGCGCCUGUGACCAGACUCGCGCCCCGUGGACCAGCCGGCGUUCUCGCCGGUGCACUCCGCGGGGCGUGGGCCAGCAUCGGUUCCCACGGGGGGAUAAAGGCCGCGGGAACGUAGCUCCCUAGGGAGUGUUAUAGCCCGCGGUGCCAUGCCCCCGGGGGGACCGAGGACCGCGCUUCGGCAAGGAUGCUGGCGUAAUGGUCACUAGCGACCCGUCUUGAAACACGGACCAAGGAGUCAAGCAUUGGGGCGAGUGUCUGGGUGCUAAACCCGAACGCGAAAUGAAAGUGAACGUAGGUGAGAGCUUCGGCGCAUCACCGACCGAUCCUGAUGUUCUCG